GACGAACGCUGGCGGCGUGCUUAACACAUGCAAGUCGAACGGAAAGGCCCCUUUGGGGGUACUCGAGUGGCGAACGGGUGAGUAACACGUGAGUAACCUGCCCUUGACUUCGGGAUAACUUCAGGAAACUGGGGCUAAUACCGGCUAGGAAUCCUUGCUGCAUGGUGGGGGUUGGAAAGCUUCGGCGGUUUUGGAUGGACUCGCGGCUUAUCAGCUUGUUGGUGGGGUAGUGGCUUACCAAGGCUUUGACGGGUAGCCGGCCUGAGAGGGCGACCGGCCACAUUGGGACUGAGAUACGGCCCAGACUCCUACGGGAGGGAGCAGUGGGGAAUAUUGCACAAUGGGCGGAAGCCUGAUGCAGCAACGCCGCGUGCGGGAUGACGGGCUUCGGGUUGUAAACCGCUUUCAGCAGGGGCGAAGCUUGUGGUGACGGUACCUGCAGAAGAAGCACCGGCUAACUACGUG
rnacentral:rRNA from 1 species